rnacentral:rRNA from 1 species
UACGGGGGGGGCAAGCGUUGUUCGGAAUUACUGGGCGUAAAGGGCUCGUAGGCGGCCAACUAAGUCAGACGUGAAAUCCCUCGGCUUAACCGGGGAACUGCGUCUGAUACUGGAUGGCUUGAGUUUGGGAGAGGGAUGCGGAAUUCCAGGUGUAGCGGUGAAAUGCGUAGAUAUCAGGAAGAACACCAAUGGCGAAGGCAGCUCUCUGGGACGGUACUGACGCUGAGACGCGAAAGCGUGGGGAGCGAACAGG